UACAGUUUAAAGGUCACUGUGUCAAAGUUUAAACAUGCUGUUCACAAGUAAAGACGGCAACUGUUGACUCACUGACCGAAUAUCCAAUGAUGGGCUCUUUGCUCCAAUCGACAGCA